rnacentral:tRNA from 1 species
GCUGGAAUAGUUUAUCAAAAUAUUACAUUGUGGUUGUGAAGAUGUUGCACUACUUUUAGCA